rnacentral:lncRNA from 1 species
GGUAAGUGAGAUUUUAGUUUGAUUUGUUUUCGUUGAUGCUCACCCUCCGUAGACAGCUCGCAUGUCCAUUACAUUCCUCACAUUUGACCAGCUGAUUCCUAUUUCAUUCAUGUAUACUUUGCUUACAACAUGUUUCCAGUGUUCAUAAUCUGUAGUGAAAUCUCGAGGAGCUGGUUUCCCAUAUAUCCCCAUUUGAGAGCUGUUUAACCAGUAAGGCGGUGUUUGAAGCCGACGGGGCCAAUUCACGGGCCACUUGCUUCCUCUCUCGACCACAUUGGUUUCUGGUAGAUUGCAGCACCAAUACCAUUGAGUUUAUCCUUGUUGAUUGUCACAAGUUCCCAGCACAAGGAUUUUGUCAACGCGGACAUUUCUACAUCACUCAAAACAUCUCAGGUUCAGUGAAACAAACAAAAGAAGGAGGAACUCUAGCCUAAGCAUCCGAUUAAGUUCCAGAAGAAGCAUACCACCCUCAUUAUGCCAUGGGACUCUACAACGUGCACAGUGGAUAAGAUCAAACACUCUGCUCGGGAAUGGCAGUCGCUUAGAGCCCAUAACUGCUGAGAUGGCUGGAAUCUUUCUUUCAAGAGCAAACUGGACUUGAGCCUCGUGUUCAUCUUUUGGUGCAAGAGACAUUGCUAUAACAUCUCUUUCAAAGAGGAAACCGCCAAAGCUCGCCACUCCACAUCCAACAUCCAAUAUGACCCGAGUACGUUUACCCCACGCAAUGUUUUUCAAAGACUGCCAUAGUAGAAAAAAGGAACCAUUAUAUUCUGCAUAAAAUUUCUAUCUUUUACUUGUUGCAGUUUUAACACUAUACUGAAAUCAAGAAAUGAGUGUUCACCUGCUGAAGAAAAUCGAUAUAAUGAAGAGCUCCAUGGAUGAACUGUGUUCCACCACCAGGAAACGUCAAGAACUCGCCAGUGACCUUCACCCAGUUCUGAUGUCCUUUUACCUCAGCUAGCUUUGUGUGUGGGACAUUGUGGUACCAUAUCUACUAGAUCACAUACUUUACGGCAUCGUCUGGAAGCUUUCCCGGAUUGUCUUCAAAUGCCUGUUGCUCAUCAGACUCUUGUUUCGUGGGUUCGGGCUCAUCAUUACCGUUUGAAGAGGCAGACACAUCACUCCUCUCUGUCUCUGCGACAGCCGCUCGAGUGGAGCCUUGUGUGAUCUGCGGUGGAAUAACGGAAUUGGAAGAAAGCAUCCACACCCCGAAGACACACAGAGCCACAAAGAUGACCAUUGUAAUGGUCGACGCAUAGGACGACGUCGAAGUGCGUUUGUUGCCACGUCCCCUCCCGAAGGCCAUCUUUACGGUCUUGCGUAUAGUACUAGUUAUGGAGAAAGAAGAAGAAGAAAAAUGAAGGAGUAAAAUGGGAGUUGAAGGAAGUAAAAAUAGAAGAAAAAGAAGAGAAAGAGAGGUUGUGAAGAGACAAGACUGGAUCAAAGAUCCUAUAGAGUCGGAUAUGGGACUUUCAAUUUCGUGUCUCUAAAUUUAGUUAUGGUCUCUGUGUUUCAUAUUUUGUUGUCCAUGAAAAAUUAGUGCCAUGUAAUCCAAUGUUAACUUGUAACGCCUAGUCAAGGAUAUAUUAAACAUGGCAAGCUUGUGCUUUUUUGGUAUAAUGUAUUCGAAGACUGUUUAAUUUGAAUUUUGAUUGAUUAAGUAUGUUGAUU